GCGCUCCGCCUGCGGGGGCUGCCCACGGCGAGGGAGAGACAGGGGGAAGGACUGCAAGCGGAGUAACUUUUGCAAAUUAAAAACAGAAAGGAAAAAAAAAAAAAAGAAGAGGCUCAUUCGUGGGUCAUCUUCGAAGCUCAGUACCACGCGAGGCAUCGAAGCCGCAGUGAAACCCUCCAUGCUAGUGAAUCCCACCACAGUGACAGGAGGGAAGCUGACUGUGGCCACUGUUCCCAAGCCCCGCGUGCAUUAAAGUCGCCUUGGCUUUCUGGCUGGAAGAUGAUUCCUGGAACAGGAGCAUGUUGCUGAUGAUGAGCAGCAGAGUCGUUGGAUGAUGCCUUCCUUGAGGAUUACACGUGGAGCAAGGCCGUCAGUCAAGGGGAGAGCUGGCUGGUGAAACUGUCUGACUUUCCCCCCAGCGGGGAAGUGGCUUCAAUGGCUCCAUCUCCCAGGAGAAGCAGUAGGAAAGAUGCCAGCGCCUUGCCAAGCAUGUCCUCAACUUUCUGGGCUAUCAUGAUCCUGGCUAGUCUCCUAAUCGCCUACUGCAGUCAACUGGCUGCAGGUACAUGUGAGAUUGUUACUUUGGACAGAGAUAGCAGUCAGCCCCGAAGGACUAUAGCCCGACAAACAGCUCGCUGUGCAUGUAAAAAAGGACAGAUUGCCGGUACAACAAGAGCAAGGCCAGCGUGUGUUGAUGCACGAAUUAUCAAAACAAAACAGUGGUGUGAAAUGCUUCCGUGUUUAGAAGGAGAAGGCUGUGAUUUGCUAAUCAAUAAAUCAGGCUGGACCUGUACACAACCAGGAGGACGGAUAAAGACAACCACGACUGAAGAUCAGCUGGAAAUAUCCUGAGGCCAUGGUCUAGUGGUCUGAGCUUGGGAACUGGGAGCCAGAAACUCCUGAGCUCUAAUCCUGGCUCUGACAGUGACUCCCUCUGUGGCCUUGGCCUGUCUGAGGCCAUGUGGUUUGGAGAUCUGAUCACUAGUCCGAAAAGAAAAGGCUGUUUGCAAGAUUUCUGGGGUGUUUUUUCCUGGAAAAGGUCUCCUGACAAAUGCAGCAACACAGAAUCCUCGUAGGAGUGGUUUAGGCUCUCUGUGAGCUACUUAACUUAGUCAAGUCUCACUGCUGUUGAUCAUCAUCUGUUAUAUGUCAUCAACUCAACUGUCUGUUUCUCUGUAUCUCAUGAAUGACAGCAUAAUUCCUCUGCAUUAUGAGCAAAAGUUUGUUCUACCAUUCUAAGGAUCACUGGACUAAGGAAUAUAGAAAAAGAGAUAAGCUUGGGCAUUAGCAAUACAAAAAAGUUCAUGGUUAACGUUUCAUCUGCGUUAUACACCACUGCUGGACUUGCUGUUACCUACAUGUUUCAAUCCGAAGAGUCUGCUACAAUGAAGAGUAUCAUCCCAAUCAGCCUUAGAGAAGACUGUUUUGCCUAUGGGAGGACACUGAGGUGCAAAAGAGAAACUCUUCUUGUGCCCUAAACUGUCUGAAUUGCUUUUAUUUUCUUAUACUUUCAGUAUUUACAAUAGACCAAAGAGCAAAAUCUAUUUUAAAGUGGACACAAUCUUACUCUUAAGAGAGUUAUGUCAUUAAAUUGAAGGAGGUCUCCACAAAGACAUGAUUCCAGCUUUCACAAAGCUGAAAUGCUGUCCAGCAGAAGUCUUUAUGGAAAGCUGAAGUAAAAACUAACUCAGAGACCUGCUCUUGAAAUGCCAUGUUCAAGAGAACAUAACGGAGCACUGAGGGAAAAUGACGUAUGUUUGAAAAAUUUGGACAAAAAGAACACAAACUGUCUACACGGCACCUUUAUUCCUCUGUACUUAAAUUGACUUUCUCGUACUAAAAUCAUUUUCCGUUUUAACCAGUUAAACAUGCCUCUUCUACAGUUCCAUUUUUGAUAGUCAAAGUUGGAUAAUACAGUAUUUGCAAAGAGCAUGUUUGGUCAUCUGUGGCCUAUGUCUCAUCUGAUACACCAUUUAGCACCAGAAAGCAAAUUAAAGAGAAAACAAAAGUAACACUUGUUUGAAAGAGAUCAUUAAAUGUAUUUUGAAAAGCCUAAAGUUAUAUAUUUAACAGUUUUUAUAUGUUGUAUAUUUGUAGAAAAUCCUAUUUAACAAUUAACGUGAUAACUCUGAGAGUCAUGAAAAGUGGUUCAGAGUUAAGUUGUGUUUUAUUACUUCAGUUGUCUCUGAAGUGACCGGUGUCAUUUGCUUUCUUCCAUUGGGACAUUCUGGAUGUAAAGCAUGACCAGAGAGGACUGUGUAGAAAAAGCAAAGAAUAAUGUUGUUUAUAUUACAUAAAUGCAUUCAACCAUUGCA